AUAGUUUGGAGCAAGGGAGAUAACAUGAUCACAAAGGUGAUUUUCCCAGGACAAGGCUCAUCCAUUGUAUUCUGAAUGUGCUGACUGCUGCAAUUUCCUCAAAUGUGUGAAAAUCAACUAUAGAAUUUGUGGUAGGAGGGAUAGCAUUCAUGUUAUCUCCUG